rnacentral:rRNA from 1 species
AGUCGAGGGGUAUGCUUCUUCGGAAGCAGAGACCGGCGCACGGGUGCGUAACGCGUAUGCAAUCUACCUUUUACAGAGGGAUAGCCCAGAGAAAUUUGGAUUAAUACCUCAUAGCAUUGCAGGAUGGCAUCAUCCAGCAAUUAAAGUCACAACGGUAAAAGAUGAGCAUGCGUCCCAUUAGCUAGUUGGUAAGGUAACGGCUUACCAAGGCUACGAUGGGUAGGGGUCCUGAGAGGGAGAUCCCCCACACUGGUACUGAGACACGGACCAGACUCCUACGGGAGGCAGCAGUGAGGAAUAUUGGACAAUGGGCGCAAGCCUGAUCCAGCCAUGCCGCGUGCAGGAUGACGGUCCUAUGGAUUGUAAACUGCUUUUAUACGAGAAGAAACACUACUUCGUGAAGUAGCUUGACGGUAUCGUAAGAAUAAGGAUCGGCUAACUCCGUGCCAGCAGCCGCGGUAAUACGGAGGAUCCAAGCGUUAUCCGGAAUCAUUGGGUUUAAAGGGUCCGUAGGCGGUUUAAUAAGUCAGUGGUGAAAGCCCAUCGCUCAACGGUGGAACGGCCAUUGAUACUGUUAAACUUGAAUUAUUAGGAAGUAACUAGAAUAUGUAGUGUAGCGGUGAAAUGCUUAGAGAUUACAUGGAAUACCAAUUGCGAAGGCAGGUUACUACUAAUGGAUUGACGCUGAUGGACGAAAGCGUGGGUAGCGAACAGGAUUAGAUACCCUGGUAGUCCACGCCGUAAACGAUGGAUACUAGCUGUUGGAAGCAAUUUCAGUGGCUAAGCGAAAGUGAUAAGUAUCCCACCUGGGGAGUACGUUCGCAAGAAUGAA